UAAUAAUAGACUCGGCAAUCUUAACUAGACUGACAGACUCGAUACUACUGUACAAGACUAAAAAUUAAAAAAAAAACAUAAAAUAGACUAAAAAAUAAAAAGUUUCCUCAAGCAGCUCAUGCAUGCAAUGGUCUUGACUAGAAUGGUCCUAGGGUAUUUGUCAUGCUCAAACUCUUGCAAAUUGAUCCAUACCUGAAUGGUAAAAAUAAGAUCAAAUAGAGUUAGUGACUUACGACACAUGUGACGCCACGACACCUUCUAUUGGACACAUACAAGACAUGAUUAAGGCUAUUUUUGUAAAAUGACCUACGUGGCCAAGGAUGAUUGUUAGUGAAAACUCAACAAAGGUGACCUCAAAGACAUGGAAAUACAUCACUAAGGCUUAUAUGGAUUCAACUCCUGAACAUCAUGGCCCAAAAUUAAUUUGCAGAAAUGACCCAUUUGUAGAAAUGGCCGAUAUGGCCAGAGGUGGCUAAUAAUGCGAACUCAAUAAGGACGGUCCUUAAAGUAGUAUGACACCGAGUUGUGUACUCAAGAUCCUAAGACAUGGGUAAUUGAACCACUUUUGCGAAAAUGAACUCAUUUUGCAAGAAUGGCCGAUGUGGCCAAAAGUGGUCGGACAUACAAAUUCAACAGGAAUGGACCUUAAUACUGAGAGGACACCUUGAUAUGGGCUUAGGAUACUAAGACAUGGGUUAACAAGACAUUUUGCAAAAAUAUCCCUAUUUUGCAAAAACAACCGAUGUGGCCAAACGUGGUUGGACAUGCAAGAUUUGGCUAAGAUCCUAUGUAGGUUGCCUACGUAUCUCGCCCCGAAAGAUGAAAAUCAGGUAUACGUAGUUUGGGAUGAUUGGAUAUGGGAGAAAACUUAGAAAAUGACACUAAUUUGGAAAAAAAAUAUAUUUUUGUCUUUUUGAAAAAUGAUGAAAAAUGUAAAAUCUUUUUGGAUUUUCUUUUUCUCUUUUUUUUUUGGAAAAUAAUGGAAAAGUGUAAAAUCUUUUUUUUUUUUAAAUUUUUUGGCUUUUCUUAAAAAAGUUGUAAAAGAAAAAUAUACUUGGACCCUACUUGCUUCAGUUUUCACCCUUCUUUCCCAAACAUCGGUCCGCCAAAUGACCUUUUACCCUCAAAGAUGCAACAUGUAUCACAUAGGGAUGAUUGAAUGUCUUUUUGGGCCACGAGUCCAUUUUUGACAAAAUUUGGAUAGGCUUCCAACAAUGGGACACGGUGCCUGGGAUCGAACCCUCCUAGGUUUAAAUGAUAUGAUGUACAUAAGCAUGACCUAAAGGCUGACUUACGGUUGGGGCUCACUAGACAAGGCAAUUCCGGGCGACACGUGGUCGAUGGCGGCUGCUCUAGCUGUCCGCCCACUCCACGCUCAAACGUACUCCAGAAGACUGGUUGCAGAAAGAAGACUCAUGCUUAUGAUGAAAGUUUAUAAAACAGUAACACAUAAAGGAAAACUGUAAAUAAAUAAGCAUCUAGCAAAUAAUAAAAAGGCAUAAACAAAAAUAAAUUCAAAUAAAGCAAAAAAAACACAUAAAAACCUCAACCUAAUAUCCUAAAAGCCAACAAGAUCAAGUACUAGCUCGAACCUGCAAUUUUCCAGCAGAGUCGCCAGAGAUGUCACACCCCUUUUUUAACAAAACUCUCACUAAACCCUCCUAAAUUAAUAAAAAGAUUUAGUAAAAGCUUGAAAAAAGGUUUUCAAUUUGAAAAGUGACAAAAUUGUGUGUUCAAAAGGAUUAACACAGAGUCGCCACCUGAUAUUUGAUUUCGGUGUGUCAGGUCACCAGUUGUCCAAAAGUAAUAAUUUUCCUUUCAAAACACUUUAAACUCUAAAACUAAGUCUACACCAGAGAUUUGGGUAAGGGGGUUCAUUUGACUCGGGGAGAAGGUUUUAGGCACUCCCCAAGUUCCGUGAAGGUCAUGGUUGCGUACUCGAUCUAGUUGGCUUUUAAAAUGUUCGAAUUGAGGCGAAAUCACACAAAAAAAGGAAAAUAAACACGAAAGAUGCUCGAGGUCGUCCCCACCUAAAAUAAAGAAAAGAAAAAUGAAAAUAAAAUAAAAUACUAAGUGUUUAUACUUUUGGCCUCCAUUUACAUUCACUUCGGGGCAUACCCCGGAUAAAAAUAUAUACAAAGUCAACGGGGCAUUCCCUGGAUAAAUUUAACUAAGGAAACGAUCUCUCGCCUCAAAACUACAAAAUCCUAAGGCUUGCCUAUCCAUGUAUUGCCGGCCUAAGCAUGCUCCGACCGAUUAAUUAGUAAAUAGAUCUACGCAAGUGAAAAAUUUAGAACAUUGACAACUUAUGUUUUACCUCAUUGCGUAACUUUAGAUCCAAUCUUAUUUUAAAGCACAUCUCCAAAGAUUAUCCUCUUAAACUCAACAACUAGUAGUCAGAUUUGUCCAAAUUCACAAAUUUACGCUAACAAACAUAUUUUUCAUAGGCUAUAGGAAUCAAAUAAUCUCAAGUGACUAAACAUGGAUCAACUUCUUGAAAUAGUACGUGCCCAUGAGAGACCAAGCAAUGAGAACAAACAUGAACACAUAUUCAAAUCAUUAAUAUGAUUCCUAAACCAAGCACAUUCAAAUCACUAAUUAUAUAACACAGAUUAAAUGCAAUCUAAACCAAAGCUCCAUAUCAUAUUUUUAUAUCACAAAAUGAAAGAAGUAAUAAGAGAAUGAAGAGAUGGACCUUUCGACAAUGGAACGGGAACCAUGACUAGCGAUGCCGAACGGAACACCUAUCGACCUCGACUCUCCAUCGAUGACUGAAGUUGACAACUGUUGCAUCUGGAAUUUCCACUUCCAACCCAAAAUCGUCACCAAUCGAAGACUGAAUAAUGACAAACCAAGCUCUAAUAAAGGCGACGUGAGUUCUUUAGCUACUUAAGAGCCGCUGCUGCUGGUUUUCGAUGAUUUGGCGGCCAUUGGUGCUAUUUUUGGUGAGUCCGGUGGUGGAGGAACAACAGCUGAUCUACUGCGAAGGUGAAGGAGAAGAACCGGGGGUGUGCUGGUGUGUGAUGAAGGAGCAAAAGGUGGUCAGUGACAGUUGAAGGUGGCGUGGAUGCUGGUCGGCUAUGGUGUUUUAGAGAUCAGAGGUUGGGCGGCCAUGGGAGUCUCUUGUCUUCAUGAAGAAGAAUCUAGGGCCAUUGGAGAAGAUGACUGGAGAAGACGCGAUCUGGGUGGCUCUGUUGAUGUCUUCAAUUAGGGUUCUAGGUUUUGUUUUGUUCUUUUUUAAUGAGGAAGAUGGCAGCCCUCUCU
rnacentral:lncRNA from 1 species